UACGUAGGGUGCAAGCGUUGUCCGGAAUUAUUGGGCGUAAAGAGCUCGUAGGCGGUUUGUCGCGUCUGCUGUGAAAUCUGGGGGCUCAACCCCCAGCCUGCAGUGGGUACGGGCAGACUAGAGUGCGGUAGGGGAGAUUGGAAUUCCUGGUGUAGCGGUGGAAUGCGCAGAUAUCAGGAGGAACACCGAUGGCGAAGGCAGAUCUCUGGGCCGUAACUGACGCUGAGGAGCGAAAGCAUGGGGAGCGAACAGGAUUAGAUACCCUGGUAGUCCAUGCCGUAAACGUUGGGAACUAGAUGUGGGGACCAUUCCACGGUCUCCGUGUCGCAGCUAACGCAUUAAGUUCCCCGCCUGGGGAGUACGGCCGCAAGGCUA
rnacentral:rRNA from 1 species